rnacentral:rRNA from 1 species
CCUACGGGAGGCAGCAGUAAGGAAUAUUGGUCAAUGGAGGCAACUCUGAACCAGCCAUGCCGCGUGCAGGAUGACGGCCCUAUGGGUUGUAAACUGCUUUUAUACAAGAGAAAACCCUGGUACGUGUACCAGGUUGAUAGUAUUGUAAGAAUAAGCAUCGGCUAACUUCGUGCCAGCAGCCGCGGUAAGACGAAGGAUGCAAGCGUUAUCCGGAUUCAUUGGGUUUAAAGGGUGCGUAGGCGGACUGAUAAGUCAGUGGUGAAAUCUCUUUGCUUAACAAAGAAACUGCCAUUGAUACUGUCGGUCUAGAGUAUAGAUGACGUUGGCGGAAUAUGACAUGUAGUGGUGAAAUACUUAGAUAUGUCAUAGAACACCGAUUGCGAAGGCAGCUAACGAAACUAUAACUGACGCUGAGGCACGAAAGUGCGGGGAUCAAACAGGAUUAGAUACCCUGGUAGUCCGCACCGUAAACGAUGAUUACUCGUUGUUGGCGAUAUGACAGUCAGCGACCAAGCGAAAGCGAUAAGUAAUCCAACCUGGGGAGUACGCCGGCAACGGUGAAACUUAAAGGAAAUUGACGGCGAGAGACGACGACGACGGACGACGACGGAGGGAGGAGG